rnacentral:lncRNA from 14 species
UAUGCCUGUAUCAGGGAAGGUCUAUGUUGAUAUCUGUAUGUAGGGCUUCCUUGCAUUGAUUUCUUUCUGCUUGGUUUGUUGUCUUUUGUGUGUUCUAGGAUUGCACCAAUCCUCGUUUCCUAGCUGCAGGUUCAUCCAAUGCUGUCAAACUAAGCAGGUUUUUUGAUAAGGUUAUAGAGAAGAGAUACUUCUCAAGAGAUGGCUCUCAGUUCUGCAUGAUGCCUUUUUCCUCCUCUCUUCCAUCCUCCCUGCGUUAUGAAGGGAAGUCUCUCCCUUCCAUGGAGAUGAUAGCUUAAUGCUAGAAAUCUGCUUGUGUGCUGGUUGUCCUUGAUACAUGAUAUUCCUGGCUUCUCUGAAAAGAAAAGAUUUGGAGGAGGAACACUGAAGAGCCAUCAUUACGAUUGAACACUUAAGAAGUGGAAGAUGACCUCUCAGAGUUCCAAACAACAUUCCUAUUCUGACUGGAUGCUUAAAGACAAUGAUGCUUAUAUCAAGCAGAAUAAAAUUAUAUAGGCUGCUGAAGCUAUUUUUGCU